GAUGAGCGCUGGCGGCGUGCUUAACACAUGCAAGUCGAACGGGAUCCAUCAAGCUUGCUUGGUGGUGAGAGUGGCGAACGGGUGAGUAAUGCGUGACCGACCUGCCCCAUGCUCCGGAAUAGCUCCUGGAAACGGGUGGUAAUGCCGGAUGUUCCACAUGAUCGCAUGUGAUUGUGGGAAAGAUUCUAUCGGCGUGGGAUGGGGUCGCGCCCUAUCAGCUUGUUGGUGAGGUAACGGCUCACCAAGGCUUCGACGGGUAGCCGGCCUGAGAGGGCGACCGGCCACAUUGGGACUGAGAUACGGCCCAGACUCCUACGGGAGGCAGCAGUGGGGAAUAUUGCACAAUGGGCGCAAGCCUGAUGCAGCGACGCCGCGUGAGGGAUGGAGGCCUUCGGGUUGUAAACCUCUUUUGUUUGGGAGCAAGCCUUCGGGUGAGUGUACCUUU
rnacentral:rRNA from 1 species